UCCUACGCUCACGAGCAAAAUUAUUAUUCCGACGGCAGCCAUGGCGGCUCUAUGCAAAUGACAAGGCCAUCGGGCUAUUCCACCAUGCCAUAUGGCCAGUCCACUCACAAUCACAUGAUGAUGGGUCAUGGUGGCCAACAUCAUGGCGGACACUAUGGUGGUCAUGGCCAUGGCUACGGCGGUCAUGAACAUCAUGGGGCGCAUAUGCCCCAUGACUCCACUAACUUUUCAAGCAGCACCAAUAUGGUCCAUAGUGAUGCUGGCUAUGGCAGUGGAAUGCAACAAUCUACCCAUAUGUUGUCAGCCAUGGGCAUGGGAUCGACCAAUUAUCAUGGCCAUGGUUAUGGUGGCAGCCACCCU
rnacentral:lncRNA from 1 species